UACGAAGGGUGCAAACGUUGCUCGGAAUUAUUGGGCGUAAAGCGCACGUAGGCGGCUUAGCAAGUCGGAUGUGAAAUCCCUCGGCUCAACCAAGGAAGUGCAUCCGAAACUGCUGAGCUUGAGUACGAAAGAGGAUCGCGAAAUUCCCGGUGUAGAGGUGAAAUUCGUAGAUAUCGGGAGGAACACCAGUGGCGAAGGCGGCGAUCUGGGUCGAUACUGACGCUGAGGUGCGAAAGCGUGGGGAGCAAACAGG
rnacentral:rRNA from 1 species